UGUCAUCCCAAUCUUCUCCACAUUGUUCUUGGCAUUUUUGCUUUGAGAUAAACACAUAGACCCUUGUGGCCUAAAACCAACAAUGCUCUCUCCAGUUCCAGACUGCCUAUGACUGGUCACAUGCCCACCUAUUUGAUCUAACCUCUUAGUUGUUUGAGCCAUCAUAGCCUUUUCUCCUAUGAAAGUGAGGUUAAGUAUGAGCAUCUGGUGUGACAUCC
rnacentral:lncRNA from 1 species